rnacentral:rRNA from 1 species
UACGUAGGGGGGCUAGCGUUGUCCGGAAUCAUUGGGCGUAAAGCGCGUGUAGGCGGUCCGGUAAGUCCGCUGUGAAAGUCGAGGGCUCAACCCUCGAAUGCCGGUGGAUACUGUCGGGCUAGAGUGCGGAAGAGGCGAGUGGAAUUCCUGGUGUAGCGGUGAAAAUGCGCAGAUAUCAGGAAAGAACACCAAUGGCGAAGGCAGCUCUG